rnacentral:rRNA from 1 species
GAUGAACGCUGGCGGCGUGCCUAAUACAUGCAAGUCGAGCGAACGGACGAGAAGCUUGCUUCUCUGAUGUUAGCGGCGGACGGGUGAGUAACACGUGGAUAACCUACCUAUAAGACUGGGAUAACUUCGGGAAACCGGAGCUAAUACCGGAUAAUAUUUUGAACCGCAUGGUUCAAAAGUGAAAGAUGGUCUUGCUGUCACUUAUAGAUGGAUCCGCGCUGCAUUAGCUAGUUGGUAAGGUAACGGCUUACCAAGGCAACGAUGCAUAGCCGACCUGAGAGGGUGAUCGGCCACACUGGAACUGAGACACGGUCCAGACUCCUACGGGAGGCAGCAGUAGGGAAUCUUCCGCAAUGGGCGAAAGCCUGACGGAGCAGCGCCGCGCGAGUGAUGAAGGUCUUCGGAUCGUAAAACUCUGUUAUUAGGGAAGAACAUAUGUGUAAGUAACUGUGCACAUCUUGACGGUACCUAAUCAGAAAGCCACGGCUAACUACGUG